rnacentral:lncRNA from 1 species
GAAGAAUUGUCUAAAAAUCUGCCAGUUAAUCAUGAGAGGAAAGUCCACAUGGAUUUGCUUCUGAAAGAAGUAGAUAUGGUUUUAGGGGAAGAAAUUGACUUUAAGGACAUAGACAAUGUUCUUAAAAACAUUGGGUUAAGACUCCACCUACAGGAAAACAAUGUAUUAAUGAAAGACUUGCCAAUUGAUGGUGAGUACUAACUCAGCCAGUAUGUAAUUUACCAGUGAGCUAUUUACUAACCCAGUGAAACUGAUUAGGUGCUAGUGUCACAAAAAUGAAUAAAACAAAGUCUAUAAUGUUUGGUUUAGGAAUA